AUUGAACGCUGGCGGCAGGCCUAACACAUGCAAGUCGAGCGGAUGAAGGGAGCUUGCUCCUUGAUUCAGCGGCGGACGGGUGAGUAAUGCCUAGGAAUCUGCCUGGUAGUGGGGGACAACGUUUCGAAAGGAACGCUACUACCGCAUACGUCCUCCGGGAGAAAGCAGGGGACCUUCGGGCCUUGCGCUAUCAGAUGAGCCUAGGUUGGAUUAGCUAGUAGGUGAGGUAAUGGCUCACCUAGGCGACGAUCCGUAACUGGUCUGAGAGGAUGAUCAGUCACACUGGAACUGAGACACGGGCCAGACUCCUACGGGAGGCAGCAGUGGGGAAUAUUGGACAAUGGGCGAAAGCCUGAUCCAGCCAUGCCGCGUGUGUGAAGAAGGUCUUCGGAUUGUAAAGCACUUUAAGUUGGGAGGAAGGGCAGUAAGCUAAUACCUUGCUGUUUUGACGUUACCGACAGAAUAAGCACCGGCUAACUCUGUGCCAGCCGCCGCGGUAAGAC
rnacentral:rRNA from 1 species